AAUACAAGAUAACAAAAGUGGCAAACGAGCGAGUAACGCGUACUUAAUCUGCCCAAAAGCUGAGAACAACUAUAGAGAUGUAGCUAAUUCUCAAUAUGCUCACGAUGGUGAAACUCCAAUGUGAGGAAAGAUUUAUCGCUUUUGGAGGAGGGUGCGUCCUAUCAGGUAGUUGGUGAGGUAAUGGCUUACCAAGCCUUUGACGGGUAGCCGGUCUGAGAUGAUGUCCGGCCGCGAUGGAACUGAGAUACGGUCCAUACUCC
rnacentral:rRNA from 1 species